AGCAGUAGGGAAUCUUCCGCAAUGGACGAAAGUCUGACGGAGCAACGCCGCGUGAGUGAUGAAGGUUUUCGGAUCGUAAAGCUCUGUUGUUAGGGAAGAACAAGUGCGAGAGUAACUGCUCGCACCUUGACGGUACCUAACCAGAAAGCCACGGCUAACUACGUGCCAGCAGCCGCGGUAAUACGUAGGUGGCAAGCGUUGUCCGGAAUUAUUGGGCGUAAAGGGCUCGCAGGCGGUUUCUUAAGUCUGAUGUGAAAGCCCCCGGCUCAACCGGGGAGGGUCAUUGGAAACUGGGAAACUUGAGUGCAGAAGAGGAGAGUGGAAUUCCACGUGUAGCGGUGAAAUGCGUAGAGAUGUGGAGGAACACCAGUGGCGAAGGCGACUCUCUGGUCUGUAACUGACGCUGAGGAGCGAAAGCGUGGGGAGCGAACAGGAUUAGAUACCCUGGUAGUCCACGCCGUAAACGAUGAGUGCUAAGUGUUAGGGGGUUUCCGCCCCUUAGUGCUGCAGCUAACGCAUUAAGCACUCCGCCUGGGGAGUACGGUCGCAAGACUGAAACUCAAAGGAAUUGACGGGGGCCCGCACAAGCGGUGGAGCAUGUGGUUUAAUUCGAAGCAACGCGAAGAACCUUACCAGGUCUUGACAUCCUCUGACAACCCUAGAGAUAGGGCUUUCCCUUCGGGGACAGAGUGACAGGUGGUGCAUGGUUGUCG
rnacentral:rRNA from 2 species